ensembl:lncRNA
UGCAUGAAUGCAUGUUACAGCUCGAGCCUGGAGCCUUGUGCCUUACAAACUCUGAGUCUGACUGCGGUGCUGCCGUGAGCUCUCAGAAACGCCAAACUAAACCCAGAAACACGGAUAAAAGAGACAGAAGCAUGAGUUCCGCCAGAGAGCACUUCAUAGACGACAUUCAUCCCUUGAAACUCAUUACAGCCAGUGAAAAAGAGACCGAUGUCCAGAAGUACACAGCAGAUUCUGCUGUUGUAAACUUGAGUAAUGGCCACAGUGGUGAUAGACGCAAAUUUAAAAGCCACAGGAAUGAGUCAGUUAACCCAAUAAUGCCACAAUGUGCUGAUGCAAAAGUGCACAAUGAAUUCAAGGACAAAACAUCACAACAGUCGUCUCGCAAUGACAUCAUCGUCAUAGAAAGCCACUCCAUCAAUCAUAUUUCAACUCUAACGGUGUUUAAAGGACAUCAGGGAAACAAUCAAAUGCACAAAUCUCAUAAAAAGAACAGAAGCUCUGACCGACAAAAGUAUUCAGUCUCCGCUAACGUGAAAUCUGAGUGUUUUCCGUCAAAUAACCGACAGUGUGAGCUAGUCCCAGUCUGCGUUCACGAUGCAAAACCUCAAGAAUCUCUCCUUCCAGUGGAAAAUCAACAACCAGACCAGGGAACCAAUCAAACGCCUGAUAAACCGGUGGGAGGAGACUGUGGGCGGAGCCAAAGUCCCAAAACAACAUUUGAAAUGGCACAUCUUUGCCAAGCUUAUGGAAUACAAGAAAUGCCCAAUCAAUCGCCAAACGCUCAACCAAUCAUAACUUCUGACAAUCAAUUGACACCCACCUCUGACCAAUCCAAACCAGAGCUAUGCAUUUAUGAGGAAAUCCAGUUUAGCCCGCCAAGAUCAGAAGAUGUUGAAGAUAAUCAGAAGAAUCAAACCAGUGAAGAUGAAACACAACCAUCAAACCUCACUGUAAACGAGUCUGGACCGACUCACACUGAGGUCAAUGGGGAGUACAGAACAAAAAAUACAGAGAAAAGUCAACCAGGAAGUGAUGUUACGUGCAAGAGAGGGAAGCAGAAAGUUUACAGCUCCUUAAUGAAAAGCUCAGUAAUAAAUCAUAAUGUCCAGGACUGCCGGCCACGGAUAACCGUGCUCAGCACCAGCCUGUAGACUAGAGAGCGGCUGCAGAAAGUGUGAGUGAAUGAGGCAAUAAGACACAAAAAAAGAGAGAAGAGUUGGAAAUUCUGAAGUGGAUUGAUAGUAAAUGGUAAGAUUAAAGUAUUGAAUAGGGAAUUAAAUCCCCUUUGCCUUCAGAAAAGCUUCAACCCUUAAUGGAAUAUAAUCAUAUCAUGCUUAUCUCUGUGUGUGGAGAUCCUGUCUGAUUAGGGAUGAAGAAAACUAUAUUUCAUGUGAAACUCAUAAACUGCCGUUUUAGUUGAGAAUGGUGCUGAUUAAACACUGGUCAUUUUUGUGUCAUUUAGCAACUGUCAUAAGAAGAAUUCAUAAUUUUUAUACAUGCACACUAAAUUUCUUUGACUACUGAGAUAAUACCUCUAAUUGCAUUCAAACUCUUAAGGUUAUUAAUUGACCUGGAAAUAUGCCUAUUCCUUACAUUUCUACAUGUGCAUUAAUCAAUUAAAAAACUUUGUGAUUUGUUUGACCAAUGAUAGUCUCAUAUUGUAAACACAUCUGUGGCUUAUUAAUGGCUUUCUGUGAUUUUGCCAAGUAAGACAAUGUUCCUGGAUCAACAUCCUUGUUAGACGUCCUAUAAACAGACAGAUUUAAAGGUUAUCAGUUUCCUCUUAAAAAUUAAGACUGUUUGCCUGACAGAAAUUUUGACUCCAGAAGCAAAUAAAAGUGGUUGAUCCAGGAAAAAGUCAUAAUAAUAUAUUAGAAGUGAUUUAUUAAAAUAACUUUGUACUUUCAUUGCAGUGUUAUGUGAUGCUGUUUUUGUUGUUAUCUAAUUAAAUCAUCUCAUGUUUUGAUCCUAC